CGACAACAAGAUGCCAAACAAUGUGGUUACUAUGUGAUGCGAUUUAUGAGACAAAUUGUUGAAGAAGUUGAAAUUAUUGAAAGAGAUUCACUACGAUCUAUAUUCACACAAGCAGAGUAUUCUCGAGAAGAAAUUGAUGAGGUGCGAUCGGAGUUGGAAGAAUGUAUACAAGAUCAUAUUUAUGAGUAGGUGGAUACAGGACAGUCGAGAUCAGUACACUAAGGAGCGUAUGGAUUCAGUAAUUGAUCAGUACACU